rnacentral:rRNA from 1 species
AUUGAACGCUAGCGGGAUGCUUUACACAUGCAAGUCGAACGCGUGGCGGACGGGUGAGUAAUGUCUGGGAAACUGCCUGAUGGAGGGGGAUAACUACUGGAAACGGUAGCUAAUACCGCCUACCAUCGGAUGUGCCCAGAUGGGAUUAGCUUGUUGGUGGGGUAACGGCUCACCAAGGCGACGAUCCCUAGCUGGUCUGAGAGGAUGACCAGCCACACUGGAAAUGAGACAGGGUCCAGACUCCGACGGGAGGCAGAAGUGGGGAAUAUUGCACAAUGGGCGCAAGCCGGAUGCAGCCAUGCCGCGUGUAUGAAGAAGGCCUUCGGGUUGUAAAGGACUUUCAGCGGGGAGGCGUUACCCGCAGAAGAAGCACCGGCUAACUCCGUGCCAGCAGCCGCGGUAAUAC